rnacentral:rRNA from 1 species
ACCGCUCAGUAACACGUGGACAACCUACCCAAAGGUCUGGGAUAACUCCGGGAAACUGGGGAUAAUACCGGAUAGGUCAAGAGUACUGGAAGGGUUUUUUGAUUGAAAGCUCUGGCGCCUUUGGAUGGGUCUGCGGCUGAUUAGGUUGACGCCGGUGUAAAGUACCGGCGUGCCGAUUAUCAGUACGGGUUGUGGGAGCAAGAGCCCGGAGAUGGAUUCUGAGACACGAAUCCAGGCCCUACGGGGCGCAGCAGGCGCGAAAACUCUACAAUGCAGGCAACUGCGAUAGGGGAACAUCGAGUGGCAUCUACAUUAGGUGUCUGUCCAGCUGUCUAAAAAACGGCUGUUAGCAAGGGCCGGGCAAGACCGGUGCCAGCCGCCGCGGUAAUACCGGCGGCUCGAGUGGUGGCCGAUAUUAUUGAGUCUAAAGGGUCCGUAGCCGGCUUUGCAAGUCUUGUGGGAAAUCCAGCGGCUUAACCGUUGGGCGUCUGCGGGAUACUACAUUGCUUGGGACUGGGGGAGGUAGGAGGUACUCAGGGGGUAGGAGUGAAAUCCUGUAAUCCUCUGGGGACCACCGGUGGCGAAGGCGUCCUACCAGAACAGGUCCGACGGUGAGGGACGAAAGCUAGGGGCACGAACCGGAUUAGAUACCCGGGUAGUCCUAGCCGUAAACGAUGCCCGCUAGGUGUCACGGCAGUCGUGAACUGCCGUGGUGCCGUAGGGAAGCCGUGAAGCGGGCCACUUGGGAAGUACGACCGCAAGGUUGAAACUUAAAGGAAUUGGCGGGGGAGCAC